rnacentral:rRNA from 1 species
AUUGAACGCUGGCGGCAUGCCUAACACAUGCAAGUCGGGCGAGCCGCAGACGGGCGAGUAACGUAUGUGGACCUGCCUGAUGGCGGGGGAUAAUUACUGAAAACGGUAGCUAAUACCGCUUACCUUCAGAUGAACCCAUAUGGGAUUAGCUCGUAGGUGGGGUAACGGCUCACCAAGGCCAUGAUCCCUAACUGAUCUGAGAGGAUGAUCAGCCACACUGGAACUGAGACACGGCCCAGACUCCUACGGGAGGCAGCAGUAGGGAAUAUUGCACAAUGGGCGAAAGCCUGAUGGAGCCAUGCCGCGUGUAUGAUGAAGGCCUUCGGGUUGUAAAGUACUUUCAUUAGGGAAGCGUUACCGACAGAAAAAGCACCGGCUAACUCCGUGCCAGCCGCCGCGGUAAUAC